rnacentral:siRNA from 1 species
UAAUGAGAGGUUGGGUCUCUUUA